CAGUAGCCACGGUAAUACGGAGGGCGCGAGCGUUACCCGGAUUUACUGGGCGUAAGGGCAUGUAGGCGGCCUGGGGCGUCCCAUGUAAGAGGCCACGGCUCAACCGUGGAGGAGCGUGGGAUACGCUCAGGCUAGAGGGUGGGAGAGGGUGGUGGAAUUCCCGGAGUAGCGGUGAAAUGCGCAGAUACCGGGAGGAACGCCGAUGGCGAAGGCAGCCACCUGGUCCACUUCUGACGCUGAGGCGCGAAAGCGUGGGGAGCAAACCGGAUUAGAUACCCCCGUAGUCCCUGUCUCUUAUACA
rnacentral:rRNA from 1 species